AGUGAACGCUGGCGGUAGGCCUAACACAUGCAAGUCGAACGGCAGCACAGUAAGAGCUUGCUCUUACGGGUGGCGAGUGGCGGACGGGUGAGGAAUACAUCGGAAUCUACUUUUUCGUGGGGGAUAACGUAGGGAAACUUACGCUAAUACCGCAUACGACCUACGGGUGAAAGCAGGGGAUCUUCGGACCUUGCGCGAUUGAAUGAGCCGAUGUCGGAUUAGCUAGUUGGCGGGGUAAAGGCCCACCAAGGCGACGAUCCGUAGCUGGUCUGAGAGGAUGAUCAGCCACACUGGAACUGAGACACGACCCAGACUCCGACGGGAGGCAGCAGUGGGGAAUAUUGGACAAUGGGCGCAAGCCUGAUCCAGCCAUACCGCGUGGGUGAAGAAGGCCUGCGGGUUGUAAAGCCCUUUUGUUGGGAAAGAAAAGCAGCAGGUUAAUACCCCGCUGUUCGGACGGUACCCAAAGAAUAAGCACCGGCUAACUUCGU
rnacentral:rRNA from 1 species